AACGCACAUUGCGCCCACCGGCAUUCCGGUGGGCAUGCCUGUUCGAGCGUCAUUAAGACCACACCUAGGCCACCAUGCCUAGCGUCUGGGGAUCCGCCCAGGCGGUCCCUCAAAGCUCCCAGCGGAGCCGGCGGUAGCCCCUAAGCGUAGUAGCUCUCUCUCCUCGCUUCUGUGGGUGCCCCGGGUCCUGCUGUAAAAAAGCCCAAACCCCAAAGGUUGACCUCGGAUCAGGUAGGAAUACCCGCUGAACUUAA
rnacentral:misc_RNA from 1 species